rnacentral:rRNA from 1 species
UACGUAGGUGGCAAGCGUUGUCCGGAUUUACUGGGCGUAAAGAGCGCGCAGGCGGUCGUAUAAGUCGCAUGUGAAGGCCCCCGGCUCAACUGGGGAGGGUCAUUCGAUACUGUUCGACUCGAAGGCAGGAGAGGGAAGUGGAAUUCCGGGUGUAGUGGUGAAAUGCGUAGAUAUCCGGAGGAACACCAGUGGCGAAGGCGACUUUCUGGCCUGUUCUUGACGCUGAGGCGCGAAAGCUAGGGGAGCAAACGGG